UUUAAGUACAACCAUGAGUUUUCGUAUUCAACUUUGAUCGUCCGUCUUAUUUAUUUAUUUUUUAUGAUUAGUAUUAUUAUUAUUAUUAUUAUAUGAUAAAUAGUACUUUAUAUUUGACUUAUAUUUUUAAAAAAAUUAAACAAAACAGACGAUCAAAGUUGGGUACGAAAAAUCACUUAUA
rfam:Oryza sativa Japonica Group DNA, chromosome 6, cultivar: Nipponbare, complete sequence.